rnacentral:rRNA from 1 species
AGUGAACGCUGGCGGUAGGCCUAACACAUGCAAGUCGAACGGCAGCACAGUAAGAGCUUGCUCUUACGGGUGGCGAGUGGCGGACGGGUGAGGAAUACAUCGGAAUCUACUUUUUCGUGGGGGAUAACGUAGGGAAACUUACUCUAAUACCGCAUACGACCUACGGGUGAAAGCAGUGGAUCUUCGGACCUUGCGCGAUUGAAUGAGCCGAGGGCGGAUUAGCUGGUUGGCGGGGUAAAGGCCCACCAAGGCGACGCUCCGUAGCUGGUGUGAGAGGAUGACAAGCCACCCGGGAACUGGGACACGGUCAAGACUCCUACGGGAGGAAGCAGUGGGGAAUUUUGGACAAUGGGGGAAAGCCUAAUGCAGACAUACCGGGUGGGGGAAGAAGGCCUUCGGGUUUUAAAGCCCUUUUGUUGGGAAGGAAAAGCAGCAGGUUAAUACCCCGCUGUUCUGACGGUACCCAAAGAAUAAGCACCGGCUAACUUCGUG